rnacentral:rRNA from 1 species
ACGCGUAGGUAACCUGCCUUGUANCGGGGGAUAACUAUUGGAAACGAUAGCUAAUACCGCAUAACAAUGGAUGACACAUGUCAUUUAUUUGAAAGGGGCAAAUGCUCCACUACAAGAUGGACCUGCGUUGUAUUAGCUAGUAGGUGAGGUAACGGCUCACCUAGGCGACGAUACAUAGCCGACCUGAGAGGGUGAUCGGCCACACUGGGACUGAGACACGGCCCAGACUCCUACGGGAGGCAGCAUG